UUUAUUGAGUGGUUAGUGAAGAGUGGGUAAAUGGAAAGUGAAGAAUGAAUGACAAGAAUAAGAGAAAGAAGACUGAUAUCUGAAAGAUCUUCGGAUGAAUACCCAAAAUGUGUAAACAAAGAACCUGUGAAUGCUAUGUGAGACAAAUUUAAUUAUUGUAAAGAAAUAAAUAUAUGUAUAUAAAUAUUAUAUACUCAAAUGAAUAUUGAACAUUACCAAGCUAAUAAUUAAUGUGACAUAGAGGUUUGUCAAUAUUUUUAACCAAACCGGUAUUGAUGAGCAUGGGCCGUUUUGAGACAUCUAGGUUUUUAUGUUUAAAGUGUUUUGCAAAAAUUGAGAUAUUAAAUAAAUUGCAAAAUUAUA